rnacentral:tRNA from 1 species
GCCUCCGUGGUAUAAUGGAUAACACGUCUGCCUUCGAAGCAGAAGUUGGGGGUUCGAUUCCCUCCGGGGGCA